UAACUUUGGUGGCGACCGGCGCACGGUGCGUAACGCGUAUGCAACCUACCUUUAACAGGGGGAUAACACUGAGAAAUUGGUACUAAUUCCCCAUAACAUUCGAGAAGGCAUCUUCUUGGGUUAAAAACUCCGGUGGUUAAAGAUGGGCAUGCGUUGUAUUAGCUAGUUGGUGAGGUAACGGCUCACCAAGGCAACGAUACAUAGGGGGACUGAGAGGUUAACCCCCCACAUUGGUACUGAGACACGGACCAA
rnacentral:rRNA from 1 species